UACGUAGGUGGCAAGCGUUGUCCGGAAUCACUGGGCGUAAAGCGCGCGCAGGCGGCGAUCUACGUCUGGGGUGAAAGCCCGGAGCUCAACUCCGGGACUGCCUUGGAUACGGGAUCGCUUGAGGAUUGGAGAGGCAAGGGGAAUUCCACGUGUAGCGGUGAAAUGCGUAGAGAUGUGGAGGAACACCUGUGGCGAAGGCGCCUUGCUGGCCAAUUUCUGACGCUGAGGCGCGAAAGCUAGGGUAGCAAACGGG
rnacentral:rRNA from 1 species